rnacentral:ribozyme from 12 species
CUGAAAAAAAAAAAAAAAAAAAAAAAAAAAAAAAAAAAAAAAAA